CGCCAUUUUCCUGCCUCAGCCUCCGGAGUAGCUGAGACUACAGGCGCGCGCCACCACGCCCAGUUAAUUUUUGUAUUUUUAGUAGAGACGGGGUUUCACCAUGUUAGCCAGGAUGGUCUGGAUCUCCUGACCUCGUGAUCCGCCUUUUCCAGAGUUUCUAAGUUUCAAGAAGUGACGAUCAGAACACCUGUGUGGCAACAAAAACUUUGGCCCCAGCAGUUUCUCACUCUCCAGCUACUCCACUGGCAACUUCCAACAAUUUGUCAAAGUGACCACUUGCAUGCUCUUGCCAGUCUAUGGCUCCAGUUGCUUCUGUUCCAGGAAGAAGCAAAGAAGUCUAAGUUCUUUGGAGUAAGAUGCUCUCAAAUGCCUAGGAACACUGAUCUCCUAACUUGUCUUCCUGCUUUGAGUGUCCCUCUGAGGUUAAAGUUCCUGCCUCAGUCUCCAACAAUGGUCAUUUCCACUGCUGCCCACUGAGGAGUGCCACUGGAGAUGAUCUCACAACAAAGAGAGGGGGAGAGGUCCCUGGCCCUCCCCUUUCCUCUGUGCUCUCAGCAGCUGACCUUGUCUUUUCCUUUACUGAGAGUAGAGGCACCUCUUACAAAUACUCUGGCCUCUGCCUGGACUGACUGGGCUAAAUUGUCUCCGAAGAUGGCCACCAACCAUUCCUCCCACCUGUCUGCAUGCAGGCUGCUCCUCCCGUCAGAAGAUGGAGACUGCUUCCUUGCCCUUCAAUCCAAGCUGGCUCAUGACUUGCUUCAAUGAAUAGGAAAUGGCAGAAGUGAUGCUCUGAGGCUUCUGGGCCUAGACUUUAAGAGGUGUUGCCCCUUUCCUUUUUCCCUCUUGGGAUCCAGCCUACCACAUAGAGAAGUUUGGGUUGACAACUAAAUGUGAGAGAGAGACAGACAGAGAGAAGAGGGAGAGCUGAUUCAGCUAGACCUUAGUCAUUCCAGCCAUCCUAGCUGAAGCACUAGCAUGUGAAAGAAGCCACCUUCUAACCUAUCAAUCAGAGCCCCCAAUUUUACUGACCUCAGUCAACACCAUGUGGAACAGAACUACCCCAGGGAGCCCAACCAACCCAUACAAUCAUGAGAAAUUAAAAACUGAUGUUGUAGCCUCCUGAGUUUUAAGGUAGUUUGUUACACAAAAAUACUGGAAUUUUGACCCACCUUCACCUCCAAUGCCAACCUAGUAAACCUGGAUAUAUCUUUCAAAAUUUGGCUCAAGUGUCAACUCUUUCAUGAACCCUCUGUAUCCUUUUCUUGCUCAUUCAAGCCCUAUUUUCUCUUCUCCUCCCCAAAAUUCCAUAGUACUUUGUAUUACAAACUAUGUGCUUACAACCCCCAAAGUCUCUGGGCAUCCAGAAGGCAGAGAUUUGGCUUAAUUCAUUUUUGCCUCUGCCUAGCCUAACACCCGGCACAUUUAGAUAUUUAGUUAUUGUUUGCUGAAUGAAUGGAUGCAUGAAGAAGAAAAUUUAACAGAUGAUAUCUACAGGCACAUCUGGCUCCAAAAUUGAAUCAUGUCAUCUAGCAAUGCUCAGUAAAGUUAACAUAAGCAAUUUC
rnacentral:lncRNA from 1 species